AUAUAGGCCUCACUUAGAGGCCUUGCUAUGACCUGGGGAGGUUAGGCAUCCAUUUGGGUAGCGGUAGCUCCGCCCCUCUGGAGAGACGGCAACCAGAGACCGGGUUGUCAGAUCCCGGUCGGGGGACCGUCUU
rnacentral:sRNA from 12 species